AGCUCCGGUCAGAAGUUAACUCUGAUCCAGAUACUGUAUAUAAGAGAGUCCAAAAUUCAGCUCAGCACAACAACCUUCUUAUCAAGUCAAGCAGAGAAGACGCUGAAAUCACUGCAGCCAUGCUGAAGGUAGCACUUAUCCUUGGAUGCCUCCUGAGCCUCAUUGUGGCUGCACCAAUGGAGGACCAGCGAUUUGCUCGCUCUAGAUCGAACUCCAAUGAGGUCUCAACAAACAACUUGUCCACCCUGCUAUCCCUGCUUUUCAGGCUUCUUGCCACCACUACCACAACUACAACAACUACAAAAGCACCUACAACAGCAGCUGCUACUACAUAAGAUGGAGUCUUGAACAUCAGCAAAUUUGUCAUGUAUUGCUGAGAAAGUUAUCUUCUUUUUCAUUUUCAGUUUUAAAUACUGAUUAUCAGUCAUGCUCAAUAAAGUUUAGCAAAGAAAAAAAAAAUCCUGUGACAACUC